rnacentral:rRNA from 1 species
UACGUAGGGGGCAAGCGUUGUCCGGAAUCAUUGGGCGUAAAGAGCGUGUAGGCGGUGUGUCGCGUCGGCCGUGAAAACCUGCAGCUUAACUGUGGGCUUGCGGUCGAUACGGGCAUCACUGGAGUUCGGCAGGGGAGACUGGAAUUCCUGGUGUAGCGGUGAAAUGCGCAGAUAUCAGGAGGAACACCGGUGGCGAAGGCGGGUCUCUGGGCCGAUACUGACGCUGAGGAGCGAAAGCGUGGGGAGCGAACAGG